ensembl:rRNA 5S_rRNA 5S ribosomal RNA
GCAUUCGGCCAUGUUACCCUGAACUUGCCUGAUCUUGUCUGAUCUUGGAAGCUAAGCAGGGUCAGGCCUGGUUAGUGCUUGGAUGGGAGACCACCUAGGAAUACCAGGUACUUUAGGCA